UCCAAAAUUGUUAGACAAUGCAACGUUUAUGUAACACCUACUUUUACACAUUAGAAAAUGCAACGUUUAUGUAACACCUACUUUUACACACAAAAAAGUAGGUGUUACAUAAACGUUGCAUUGUCUAACAAUUUUG
rnacentral:miRNA from 1 species